rnacentral:rRNA from 1 species
GACAGAGGAUGCAAGCGUUAUCCGGAAUGAUUGGGCGUAAAGCGUCUGUAGGUGGCUUUUUAAGUCCGCCGUCAAAUCCCAGGGCUCAACCCUGGACAGGCGGUGGAAACUACCAAGCUGGAGUACGGUAGGGGCAGAGGGAAUUUCCGGUGGAGCGGUGAAAUGCGUAGAGAUCGGAAAGACACCAAGCGGCAGAGCACUCUACUGGGCCAUUACUGACACUGAGAGACGAAAGCUAGGGGAGCAAAUGGG